UCCCAAUCAAUCAGAAAUCAAGCAAUUCCCAAAUGUAUGGAUCCGGUUCAAAUGCCCUAAUUUUGUUCAGCAUCUUUCUUCGGCUCUUUUGUUCAUCAAACCUUCUUCUAUGUCCUGCACCAACAGAAUCAGAUGGUUCAGCAAACAGUAGACUCGAAAUUGAAUGAGUAUGGGCUGGGCAACUCUGAAGCUAAUUUGUCCACUUGUGAGAAGCCAUUUGCUAUUGCAGUAAAGAAGACAGCAUUGAGAGACGUGCAAAAUGAAAAUAGAAUUCCUCAUUCUAUUGGGAUUUCUCCGUUGCCAAAGGAUAGAGGACAAACUAUGGAUUCUUUACAGGUUUCUGGUACCAAGAGACCCUCAUCCAAGGGUCCAGUAAGCACUCCACAUCACCAAUCUCCAACUAGUAAUGCUGCAAAUGCUCAGCUUGUCUAUGUUCGUAGGAAAGCUGAAGCAGAAACAGGCAAGAGUAACAUUUGUGAAGGAAGAAGUCUUAAUGCUGAUUGCCUGAAUUCAAGGCAACUUGACAAUGAAGAGGAGACUACACAAGCAAACCCAUAUAUAAAGGAGCCAAGAGUUUCUUGCUUUCCAGCAUUUGCACCUAUGCCUGUGGGUUCCUUGACAAGUUCGUCUGGAAAACCUUCAAUUCCUCUUCCUGUUGUCAACCCUAAUAUGAGGUUUGUGGCAGCAGAACCCAAUUAUCAUCAUGUUGCUUCUGCUGUCCCUUUGUCAAUUAAUCUGAAGGGAAUGAAAAACCUGCACUGGGAGGAGCGAUAUCAUCAGUUGCAAAUUUUACUAAAGAAACUAGAUGAAUCAGAUCAAGAGGAUUAUGUACAGAUGCUUCGUUCACUUUCCUCGGUUGAGCUUAGCAGACAUGCAGUUGAGUUGGAGAAGAGAUCCAUUCAACUUUCACUGGAAGAAGUCGGGGCAGAUUGGGGUAGUUGGGGCAGGAUGGCCUAAACUCAUACCCUCCCUUUACCCUUGGAGGGCAGGUAUGCCCUGUCAGGUAUGGAUUGAAAUUGCCACCUCUAUGCAAGAUCAAGUGUUAGAAGAGUUCUAAAUUGGUAGCAGCUUUCAUACCUUGUGGUUUAAAUUCGCUCUGUGAAAUCUGUGAUUUAGUUAUGGUGUUUGUCAUCAUCGAGGAAGAUCAAAGCAACAAGCUUUAAAAAUGUUGAAGCUCCAAUACCAAACUGAUUAGGAACAUUUGCAAGUCCGAACUUCUAGCAGUGUUUAUGGGUCGACUUAACUGGGGAGCACUAUUACAUGGAAAGCAAAUUAUAGAGUUUGUUUGAAUUACAGCAAAAGAAGUGCAACGUGUGGGGAUUCUGAAUGUUUUGGGAAAGUCCUCGAAGAAUAAUAUUAAAGUGUCCACAACUUGUCAAGGCCAGACAGAGAAACAAUAGGAUUGCUCAUCAAUGGUAUUGCUUUUUUAUUCUUAUGGCUGAAAAGGAAAAACAUAUACCUCCAGGCACUUGUCUCUCUUCCUUUAACCCUAACUGCGUCUUUGGCGUAAAAGAUGUUUACAUUAUUAAAUUCUAGCUGUAUUAUAAUGUAGUGCUAUAAAUAUGUAGUUCUUGUCUUCCUUUUAGUCUAAUUUAUCUUAUCUAGCUGGUUUGAGGUUUGCUUUGUA